UGGACAGCCCUGGAGAAUGAAGUCCUUAAUUUAUUCACUAAACAGGUGCAGCUUGGGCAGCAGCACUGCAAGCUUCCAUCCCACCAAAACAGCUAUCUGGUUCAACUUUGACCUGGAGGGACACACGAACCCAUAGGGCAAGGCAAUAGUUUAGUCUCCAUGGACAUUUCAAAUCAUUGGUCCCU
rnacentral:sRNA from 1 species